GUGGGGCCCCGGCUGGCUGAGUCCUAACAGAAAAUGUGUUAUUGAAAGGGAUGAAGACUAGAAACUAUAGUUUGGAUCACUGGUGUUGUUACCUUACUGUAAAUUAAAAUGUAUUUUAGCUGAGCCGUGUUGUCCGUUUUCUACAAGAUUGAUCGUUGUAAGACUGGAACAGACCAAACAAAGAGAUAACACAUAAAACAAUGAGGCACAAGGAUAGCAUGACACCGAGAGCUAGCAUUGUUAGAAUAGUCUAGCUCAGACAUGGGCAAACUACGGCCCGCGGGCCACAUCCGGCCCGUUAGGCUUUUUAAUCCGGCCCGCCGAACUUGUCCAAAUCGCGACUUUGUUUACUUCCGGUGUGCGUUGGCGCGGAAAGUACUCGUCACACAAAACCCUUCACCAUGAUUUGUCAAUCCGUUUGUCUGUCAACAUUUUGCGAAAAAAAACAACCAAUGAACACUCAGUAAAUCACAAAGGACCCGCCCACCACACAGGUGAAGCUCAUUUAGAAACAGCUCCAGUGAUUUUGGCGAGCAGCGCGGAGCCUGGAGGGGCUGCAGAGCCACGAGGAGGAACACGCAGCCAGAAGAGAGCCACUUGGACCGGAGAGGAUUCACCAGCGCCUACAGCGCAGCCUGCAGCUCCACCUGCCCGGCCAGCAGAGAGGUCUCGUGACACGAUGACAUGAUGUUAUUAUUGUGAAGCCAUAUUGUAAAUAGUCAAUAGUUGUUUUCUAUUUCACAACAUGUAUAUAAUGUAGAUUUUAUUUUAUUUUUAUGUACAAUACAUAUUUAUAAAAAUAAAAAAAAUGUAAUGGUCA